rnacentral:rRNA from 1 species
CAGCCGCGGUAAUACAGAGGGUGCGAGCGUUAAUCGGAUUUACUGGGCGUAAAGCGUGCGUAGGCGGCUUUUUAAGUCGGAUGUGAAAUCCCUGAGCUUAACUUAGGAAUUGCAUUCGAUACUGGGAAGCUAGAGUAUGGGAGAGGAUGGUAGAAUUCCAGGUGUAGCGGUGAAAUGCGUAGAGAUCUGGAGGAAUACCGAUGGCGAAGGCAGCCAUCUGGCCUAAUACUGACGCUGAGGUACGAAAGCAUGGGGAGCAAACAGGAUUAGAUACCCCAGUAGUCCCUGUCUCUUAUACACA